rnacentral:lncRNA from 1 species
CACAUCCUGGUAGGACUAAUUCUUCUAGCGAGAUUUUUUCUCAUAUACAAGACUCGAACUCAAGAUCUUGCGGAAGAUGAAUCAAACAUAUACCACUUAAGCUUAUCACUCAUUGGUAAAUAAUAAUGUUGUUUGAUGCGCUUAUAAAAAAACAAUGUUGUUUGAUGCAAUUUUUUUAAUAAAAUAUAAUAAAGGUCAAAAUCAUACAAUUGUAUUUUUUUGAUGCACCAUAAUAUCAUUUAUAAGAGAUAAUUAUGUUCGAGUAGAAAUAUUCACAUCAUUAUAGGGCCAGCUCUCCCAAUAAAAAAAAAUCAUUCACAAGACUCAAAUAUAAGAUAUUGUUUAAGGGAUAUCAUAUAAUUGCAUAUAUAACAAUUAAAAUCAUUUCAAAAACGUUAUCUUAAUUGUCUGUUUAUAUUAUAUGGUCAAUUAGAACAUGCUCCUACUUGAUGGAUUCCUGGAAUAUUUUUUGGUUUUGUUUGGAGGGAUACACUCUUGUGCUUGAUGUUUAAUUUAUGUACUACAAGAAAACAAUAGAAGUGAGAGCCAUGGCCCAUGGAUAGAUUUUAUUAUUUUAAAAAUAAUUAAGACGUUAUUAAUAUAAGAUGAUGUGGAUUUAAAAAAAAAAGAUGAUGUGAGAUUUAUGUAAAAUGUUAUUUUCCGGUAAUUAUGUAAGCCUUAUUGAACCUUCAAAAAUAAAAUAAAAAUGUAAGCCUUAUUGAAAAGUAAAAAAACGUCCUGGACCACUUUAGCGCUAGUGUCAGUGUGUCAUGUUGAUGUAAUGGCAGAAGGGGAAAAUUGUAAAAUCCAAUUUUCACAAUUAAGAAUGUCCGUUAAAUUGUAUCCUAAACAAGGGACAAAAUCAUAUGCUUGUCAAAUUAUCAAGCAAUCGAAGAAUUAACUCUUGAUGUAGCAGCAAAAACAACGCCCAAAGAUGUUAUCAGUCUUCCUCAGUGUUAACAUAAUGCAUUUAGUCGAAAGUUUGAUGGAGAAUAAUUUGUUGAGAAGAGCCUACUCAUUUAAUAUGAUCUCCAAGUCUCGAGGAGAUUAAUAUUAAGAUUGCCGAUUGAAAAGAUACAGUGGAGCGACCAAAAAGAAAUACUUUUACACUAAGUUCAAAAUCAGAUCCACAGAAAAGUUUCAAUAAAUAGCUUUAAGAUGCAAUAAUUGACUGAGAAAAAAAUAAAUUCAUCCAAGCAUGAUAAUAAUAUGAACAGGGAACACUUGCCACGCAUUGGCUAGGACUUAUUACUAUUAGCAGCAUCUCAUGAACAUCUAAUCAAUUAAGUUCCAGAUUGGUGGGAUGCAGACAAAGUAGUGGACAACAUACCCAAAAUGGAAGUUUCAUAGAACGGCAAAGGUUUGGUAAUUAGGUUAAUCCAUGAACGUGACAUAUAUUAUUUUUUAUACAAACGAACCCAUCCGGCAAAACAAAAGAAAUUGUCCCUACCUUUCUUCAUAUUUAAAUGCAGGUGCAAAAGGGAAGACAAAAGAGGGGAUAAAUAGAUAAAUAACAUUGCAGGGUUGUACUUGCCAGCAGACGGAACACAAGAGUGUCUUAGAGAUGACAAUCUAAACAAACAAUCUUUUAAGGAACACAAGAGUGUCUUAGAGAUGACAAUCUAAACAAACAAUCUUUUAAGGAACACAAGAGUGCCUUAGAGAUGAUGAUCUAAACAAAUUUAAUCUUUUAUCGUUUUACCAUUUAAUUUUAGCCAACAGCGAAAAAGGAAAAAAGGAAUUUUUGCAACAAAGGAAAUUUAUUAUGAAAAGAAUUAUGCUUGAACUAUCAUAUUUUAUAAUUCUGGGAUUUCUAAUUCACACAUGCAUUUUGACCCUGCAAAUGAAAAGAGGGCUUAUUUGUGCCUGUGGCAAUGAUCCAGCAUCACAAAAGUCCAACUAACAAUAACAAGCAAAUGCAACAAGACGAUCAAUUCUACAUCAAAGUGAUAAAAACACUUAAACUUCAAAAUAACAUAAGCCAGCAUGUAUGAUCAUGAACCCUGAAGCAGCAUAUCUGCAUUCCUGUACCCUAAACAAUGGUCAAAUAAAACACCGAUCCCUCACCACUUCCAUCUACACACCCAAUUGAAACAUUAAAACAUUAUACCUCCACAGCAAACAAGGUUUCUGGUAAUCAUGAAUGAUACUGUACAAACAUUCAUAAAAAAAGAUUCAAAUAGAAUCAUUUCAUACCGUCUUCUGAAAGUCUGGUCUGCUUAAUGUCUAUUCUUACUACUUAUGGAUAUACUGAUGUCUUAUGUGUAUAUGUAAAUGUGCUAUUAUAUCUACUCUAUCGUUAACCAACUUGCUCCUGACUAUCAUGUGAAUUUAGUAUCUUUGAACAUAAUGACAUUUAGAGCCAUCAGCAGCAAGUUGGUGCCGUAAGAGUUAACAUCUAGAUAUAAUAUAGCACAUUUACAUAUGCAUAUUAGACAUCAAGUCAACAACAUAUGGAUAAGUAGUAAGAAGAGACAUUUGCAAGAGUAUUGUCUGUACAGCUUUUCUAGGUGUUGAUCAGCCCAUGUUUCCCUUUAAGUUGUCCUUGACAAUGGCAUACAGCAAAAUAAGGGUUACUGCAUUGAGGCACUUGUUAUUACUGAUGGUCUUUUUGUUUCUUUUCGAAGGAGCAUAUCUAUCUUCAAUUCUUCAUGCAUAUUUCGUCUCUUCAAUAAACUUCUUUUAUAUGAGAAGAAAAUUCUUACACCAUUCUUUGAUGAGACUCAUUUCACAAUUUUUCAUGAACUUCUAACUGAACAAUUACCAGACCAAAUAAAUACAGCAACACAGCUAGUGAAGCACAUAGAAGGUCGCACUUGGAUUGAUCAUUGUCCUAUUAAUUUGAUACUCUUAAGUUUAAUCAAUCAACUAUUUUUACAACAGGGGUAGUUUAUAACUGUAUAUGACGUAAUAUCCCUCCUUAACUUAUUCGACACUGUUAAUGUAGUAAAUUCAGAACAUAUAGCACAUGCAUGGGCUUAUCCAAGCAAUACCAACCCAUGUCAGAUUCAUGUAAUUAUAUACCUUAGCCCAUAUAUAACUAUAUUCUAUGAAAAACUAAAUGUCUUUCACAAAACUCAUGCAUUUCUAUGCAAUCUAAAUCAACCUCACUGCUGUGAAGUUCUGAGUUACCAUUGGUAAUUUAGUACCAUCAGUAAAAGACCAGUCGAACAAAGAAAUUCAACCAAUAGCAUCAUUUUCCUAUCCCUGAAAGGUUGAUCUAGUUCAACUAUCAAAAGUUGUAACACUACUUCGCCGAAUAUAAUAUAUUACACAUAUCAACUAAAGCACACGAUUCUUCGCAAACACUACCUAUCUGAUAAAUUUCUUUGUUUGGCUUAUCAAAAAAAAUCUGAUAAAUUUCUAAAUUAAGUGCACAGAAAAAUUUCUACCAGCAAAGCAAACAAUGUCUUGAUAUUUAGUUAGUGCAGGUAAUUUUAAAAAUGCAAGGCAUACUCAGAGCAAAAAAAAAAACACAUGUAUACACAUACCCAUCAUAACGUGGGACAAAUCUAUAAUCCAUAAGCAUGUAUACCUCUAAACAAUAAAAAAGUUGAGCUAACAUGCCCUGAAACCAAAAUUUUCAACAAAUUCAUAUCAUUAAGUCUGUAUAAGAACAAUGGUACAUCCUCAUGCCUGUAACAAGUUUUGUACUUAGUAAUUCCAGAGUUCUUGAAGGCUAUAAGGGUUUACCAAUUUAUGCUGUAGCCAAGAAACAGCGACUUCAAGUGAAGAAACAAAUAGCAAUCUGUACCCGGUACCACACAAUGAAGGAUUCCAUCAACUGAAACUUGAGCCUGCAUCUCAGCUAGCAUAAUGUUGGAUCCGAGCAGCCAUAUUAGAAACCUGAGCCUGCAUCUGAGCAGCUUUAACUUUUGCAGCAGUAGCUCGUUGAAAGAAUUGCUCCCUCGACAGUGCCCUCACACUCCUCAAGUACUGAUCAAACGGUACAGCCCCAACCUGAACUGCCUUAUCCAAUGCAUAGAGAGUAUCUUCGACAGCCAAAUCCGAAGCAGUGCAAUCAAGCAUCUGCUUUGAUAGCACAUCCAUACAGUCAAAAGCCUCCUCAGCAUUCUCCAAACCCCCCAACUUCUUCCCUUGAUUCUCUCUCAACCACCCCUCUAAAAUAUCAGUAUUCAUCAAAACCAUCUGAAGCUGCUGCUCCAACCCUUCAAUCUCCCCCUGCAUCUCCCUCACACCCCUAUUGAGAUGAUCCUCCCUCUGCUUCAACACCCCCUGCAAACUAAACAGCCCCUCCAUCUCACUCUCCCUCGUCUUCCUCAACGCGGUAACAUCGUUAUGCACCGUCUCCACAAGCUUAUUGAUCGCAUUCCGCUUGAAAACCUCACUGGGGUCCUCAGUCUGGGAAGAAACCCUAGCAGGAGAACCCACUGAACCAUAAGGCGAAGGAGGAUACGGCCUCUGAGGAGGAGGGUGGUGGGGGUGGUUAUGAUACCCAGAUGACGAAUUCGACAAAUUCGAUGCAGAAGUAGCGAAAUUCGGAUUGGGAUUAGGGUUAGGUCUACGUUGGGAAUAGAGGGGUGGGUCACGAGCAAAGAGAUGACUGGUAGAGAGAACGAGAUCAACCAAAUUGGAACUAGGGUAGAUCCAAUUAUGCAGAUAGGGAACGGAAACCAACCCAGAAGGGUUAACAUGAGCGUGGGGGCGUUUGAUGAUCAUGUCUCUGGUGGGGUUAACGUAGACGCAAGGUGGGUGGCGAGGGUAAGACUCCAUGAGCCAGAUGACGACGGGGAUGUUGUAGGUGACGGAUUGGUAGGUCAUAGGGAUGGUUCCGACGGCUUGGAGGAGGUUGACGGAGCGGCCGUCGUUGUGGGUGAAGGUGGCGGUUUUGGGUUCCAGGGAAGGGAAGGCGGCGGUGAGAGCAACGAGGUGUUGGCGGAUGAGCCACUUUGUGUCCUCCGAGUAGGGGACGGCGGAGGGACCGCGUUGGGAGAGGACGGAGCUGAGGAACUGCUGUGUGGCUUGUGGGUCCGGCGAUUGAACCGCCGGUGGAACCAUGGUUGGCGGUGAAGGUGGAAGGUAGGGUUUGAAUUGAAUUGAAAUCGAUUGGUUAUGGGAAUUGAAUUGAGAUUGGUUUGCUUAACGAAGAAGAGAAGAGAAGCUUAUGGUGUACGCGUGGUUGAGAAAUGACAAGAGAAGAGAAGCUUCUUGCUCUAUUGCUCCAAACAAUGUAUUAGCAUUUGUUGCUAUUUAUUAAAUUUAAGUAUGGAUGAUAAUAAAUAUUUUUAAGCCAUUUUGUGAAAUGGAUUUCAACCCCAAAAAUCAAUUCUACAAUUCUACUAGAAGCUAUAGAAAGUAGCUGUUGUUGACUUGUUGUUGCUGUUGGCUCUUAAAUAUAAUCAAUUUUGAGAUUUUAUAAUUGAUUUCACAUUAUCUUGCAAAAGCUAUUUUUUUAUAAAUGUAUUCAAUUAUAAAUCAAUUCAAUUUCAACUCACUUUUAUUAUAAUUAAUUCUACCAAAAUCAAUUUUUUUUUAACCCAAAAUCAAUUAUCAAUUGUGAGAACAUUGGUCCAAACACACAAUGAGUGAAGCUUUUAGUGGGAGAGUAUUCAGGUUCAUUUGGAAAAAGAACUUAAUUGAGUACUUAUGACAAAAAGCGCGAAUCUCAUUAGCACUUAUUAAUAAGUUAAUUUGAGAAACUUAUUUUAGAUAUGGGUUAUACAUAAGCAUAAACUCUUAUUAAUAAAACAAUCUGAAUACCUUAUGAAAAUAAGCUAAAAAAUAUGAUCCGAACUUGCUAUAACAUUGAUUAUGGACAGAAAUGAUUCUACUUUGAAUAUGAUAAACGUGAGUUAAAAUGAUGUCACUUAUGUUUGAACACAUUUACGAGAAAGCGGUUUCUAUAUCAUAAUGUCAUGAAAUUCAUAUGUAAAAUCUCAUAAUUGAUUGUGUUUAACACGAGCAACUAUUUAUUGUGACAAGUAAAAUUGAUUCUUGACCCAUGAAAUCAAUUUUUACAAUUAAUUCUAUAGAAUUGAUUUUUCUUUCUAAAUAUGCACUAAGUGUUUAAUUUAAGCUUUUUCCUAUCAAUUUUUUUUUCUCUCUUCAUCGAGAUCUAGAGUUUUGUUUAUAAGAAACCAAUCUCAUGAAAUACUGUUAGGAAUCAUAGGUAGAGAGAUCCUUCCUAUAAGUAAUAAUUACUACAUCAGAUUCAAUCAUUGAAUUCAAGAUCACGUAUUUUAGAGAUCCAAGUCAUUUUCACAAGAACCAACAUAUAUUAGUGAAUACAAAAAAUGAAAACACAUCAUCAUUUUUAUUUCUCAGGAUAUAUGUCCACUCGAAAGGGACUUCUUCUAAUAGUGUGUUCUGUAUGCAAGAGGAACUGAGAAAGAAAUAAUUCCAGCACCAGCAAAAGGUCUAUUGAAGAAGAUAUUAUAAAUUUGUUUAUGCAUGGUUACACUUACACCACAUAGCCGACUCAAUACAUUACCAAGUUCUCUAGCAAAUCAACCUUCCAUAAAGAAAGAUUAAUUAUACGAACCAGAUCUAAUAUAGAUUUAAUCGGUGUUCUUAAAUCGUAGUAAAGUUCCAACAAGUGUGCUCAACAUGCAAAACUAGGACUUCCAACUUAACAGGUUCAUUGUUGAAAUUAUUAUAACAUGCAGAAAGAGACUAACUGGUAUCAGAGAUCAUUGGAACAAAAGGAAAAAAUCUGGCUUAUUUUUAACCAAGACAAUCUGUCAUAACAAGUGCAGCAUGAGAGCAUGUAUUCCAUAAGCAGUGAUAUCAAACUUUCGAAGACUCUCCUGCUUUCACCAGAUCUUCCAAUGCCUUAGAGAUCUGUGUCUCUGUCAAGCCUUCCAAUUUAAUGCCUUUCUCAACACCCAAAUCUAGUAUGAAGGAACACAUGCCAGGAAAUUAGGGUUAAUCAUAAACAGAUAACCAUUGGAAAAUGCAAAAUGAUGCGAAUGAAAAGGAUCGGCUACAAAAUAUGAUCAGAAGGGUUCAUCAAAGAUGGCAGCAGCCAGCGGGGACUUUGCAGUGUAAGUGUCCCAAAUUCAUGUUGUAAGGGAAUUGAUUUUCUAACUGCAUUCAAGGCCCUCCAUAAUUAACAAAUUAGUCUCAACUCUCAUGUUACAAUCACAAUUGAUAUUGACAUUAUCCAUAAUCUCAUGCGUUUCUUAAAGCAGGUACAAAAAUCAUUUCCCUCAGAAGUCAGAAUUUAAGGUUCUUUCAACGAAACAAAUUUGAGCAUGAAAUCAAUUUUCAGCAACAAAGCAUGCCUAGAAACGGAGAAGCCUAGAGGUUGAAGAACACAUGAAGAAAACUCAUCCCCAUAAAACUAUUCUCUCAAAUUUGCAAUGUAUUAUUUUAAAAUGCUUAAUCCUAUGUAUGUAUGGAUUUGACAGGCCAAAAUUUAUGCCAUACAGUUUCAACAGUCAACACCUGUACAUCUGAACUUUCAGCCACAUUCACAGCAAGAAAGUCAACAGUGUUUAUGGUUUUGCUUUUGAAUAGAGCAUAAAAGUCAGAAUUGGGAGAAAAUUACAAUUUAGUUUUUCACUGAAUAUUAAGACUAUUAUAUCAUCAUAACCUUAAAACCCUAUAUAUGAAAUUAAGGGGACAGUGCAGAAUAACAUAUUUUCAGUGUCAAUGCAUUAAAGUUAAUUUCCAAAUCCUAAAAAUUCCUCCCGUAAAAGUUAAAACUAAGGGGGGAAAAGCCCUGGAAUCAUGAUAUAGAAUGUAAAUGCAAAUUUCAGGUAGACAAAUCCAAAUAAAAAAAGACAAAAAUGAGAUUUAAGAUGGUUCAUACCAUAUCUUGCCCAUAAUUGGGGUUCAACUCCACUGCAUUCACGGACCAAUAUUGGCAAUUUUGGGUUCAAUGUCUUCAGUUCCUUAUAAUUCUUUUCCACAAAAGCCCUGAGACAAAAAGAAAAAUGAUAAAAGCUCCUUUUGUAUUCACUUAUGUAUGAGAUGUAAGUUGAACAAAGCAACCAUUGUGCAUGUAUAAACCUUGCAGAUGAGCUUGCAGGUGAUGACUGGCACAUCAAAAUCCGAAGCUCUUUUAUGUUCUUUGAAAUGUGUCCUCUCCAUGCCAUUGCUUUCCUAGUUCAAAGUUACAGUAUUAGUCAGAUUUACAAGGCAAGACAAAAUAGAGGUAACGCCUAAGAAAUGCAAGCUAAAGUGCUAAACCACCAUUGGCGUCCGUCUAGUGGUAGUCUGAUUGGAAAAGUAUAUAUAAAUACAAAGAUAUUGCAUGUGUAAACUACAACCAGAAACUCACAACAAGUAGUUUUAUUAUUGUCAUUUUGUAAAAGCUCAAUGGAAAGCAGUCUUUGAACACUUUGAGUAUAAUAAUUUGGAUCUAAAAACGCUUCUCAUGAAAUAGAUAAUUUUUACAAAAUGAACAUAUGAAAUUAUGCAACAAACCAAAACCUAGAAACCAUACAUGAAUCAAUCAACCCAAUUUUCAGCUCCAUCAAAACCCAAAUUCUUACAGCAAUUCCCAUUUAACAAAGAAAUGAAAUUCAAAGCACAUUCUUAUCACAAUCCCUAGAGUGAGCGAUGAUGAUGAUGAAGACGAAAAUGAAAAAAAUUGAUAGGAAUGCAGAGAAAAAUGAUUCAUAGUCAGAUCAAACAAUAGCAGGAGAGAGUGAAAAAUGUAAUCUUUGAUUCAAACCUGAGGUGAUGCCAAAAGGGUCGGAUAUGGAAGAUGGCGGAGGUGAACUGAAAGAUUCUGGCGUUUGUUUCGUGGGGAGGAGAGAGGAAAAGGGCCACCAACUCAAAAGGGUAGACCUGUCAUUAUACAAAUUCUUCAGGGUUACUAUGGUAAACCAUUGAGUUUGUUUUUUAAUUGAGAUAUAUUAUUUCAAAUUGUACUUGGAAAAUCAGAAAUUAGAAUUAGGUUAUUUUUUGUAAUUAUUCUCCUCUUUGGAAAUAAACCAUAUUCACAUUUACCUUAUGGAAAAAAAGUUUGAAAGGGUUCCACUCUGAUCAACAUCACAGAUCAGUUCAUGCAUUCAGAAUCAGAAAUUGCUUAUAAAGGUAAUUACAUAUCAUCCAUUAACACAACUCUCACAUCGACAGUGAAAAUCAAACACACAAUCUUCAAAGACCAAGUGUUUUAAUUUUACCAAUCGAGUCAAUUUGUGUUGGUCAUACUCACAUUUACCUAAUUCAUUAUUAAGUAUGUCUAAGUGAGAACUUAGACAUAAUUUCUUUCUUUCAAUUUAUUUUAAAUAAAUGAAAUCUCUCCCAAGUGAUCAUAUUAUCUGUGAUAAUUUAUCCUCAAAAUCGUUUGAAGAUUAGUUGAGUUACUUUCAUCCCAGUCAAUCAAAACAAGAGGUUUGUUCACUUUUUUUUAUGUCUAUUCAUUUCAUUAUCGAAAAUGUCCGUUUAUACUAGUUUCAACGAAUAUCCAAGAAAUAAACAAAAUGUCUUCUUCACUUUUUAAAUUAUAACUUUUUAUUUAAUUUUAAAUGUAAUGAGCUCUACGAGUAUUUAGGAAUGCAAUAUUCGAUACAUUGUAGUAAAAGUCUAAUAUCUUUCCAAGAGUAUGUUUCAUAACAAUGAAACUUAGAAAAACAUCACAUAAUCACAUAAUAGGUGAUGAAACUGAAGAGCGAGAAAGUGCAAAGAAAGACGUUGGUAAUUUGGCCUGAACUGCCACAAAACUCAUCUUGUGCAAAAUAACAUCUAACGUGCACUUCAAAAAAGAGAGGGGAAAAUAACUAACACUUUUUAAACUGCUAACUUCCAAAAACAACAACUAAAAACUGCCAACAAAACAAGACAUAAACAACUUACACAGGGGACAAUGAUUCACUCACUCACUUUUGCAUACUGCAAUCCAAUUUCCAUCGCCAUUGCUCAAAUCUUCUACUAAUUUACUUUCAUCAUCCAUGCAUUGCCUACACAUAAAACUUGGGUGAUUACAACAGAAACAUUAGAUGCCAGUAAAUAAAUAAGGCUAUUUAUAUAGAACAAUCAAAUCAAAAUGGAUGCACCAAAAGUUGCCAGAACAAGGAAAACAAAGGUUAAGAAUUCAACUUCAAGGCCAGAAACCAGACAUGUCUCAAGCAAAGUUGGGAAAUUUGAUCUCACUGAUCUACAAUGGACCAAUCAAAUUCCACAGUGUCCAGUGUACCACCCAUCAGAACAGGAGUUUCAGGAUCCUUUUGCAUAUCUACAGAUGAUUGCUCCAGAGGCAUCUAAAUUUGGUAUGUGAUAAUAGAACAAUAUGUAUAACAUGUUUGGAUUGACUUUUUUUUUUUUCAUGAUUAACAUUGAAAUCCAGAAGCUACUCACAUAAACUUCCUUAGAAUCAAUUGUAGAAUGAUUUUCAAACACAUGCACGCAUUCAUCUAAGUCUUCUUCCACUAGGUGGGAUGAAUAAUAUAAAUUUUGUAUAGGACUUUAUUUAAAGUGCUAAAAAAAAUAACAAAAGAAUGUUUCAGAAACCACAGAUUCAGAUAACAUGUUCUAGUAACAAAUAUGUGUUCUGUUUUGCAAUAUAUUGUAUAUGCCACAAACUUGAACUUUAGGGAAAUUCUCAAAGUCACAAUAGUAAACACAAGAAAUUUGAUGUUAACACUUAACACCACUACCCUUCCAUGAUUUCCGCUAAAUAACACAGUUAGUUUUGUCUCCAAUCACCACAAACCAGGGCGAGUAAUUGGAGAAAAUAAUGUCCUUCCCUUCCCUUGCUCACAAAAUUGAGUGUUUUCUGCAUUUAUAUGCUUUUACAUGUAAAUAAGUUCCCUUCUAUGUUCUCAGGUAUAUGCAAAAUAGUUUCUCCUAUAAGUGCCUCUAUUCCUGCUGCUGUUGUAUUAACAAAAGAGAAAAAGGACUUCAAGUUUAAGACUAAUGUGCAGCCUCUUCGGCUUUCUGAUUGGAAUGAGAAAGAUAUAAUAACCUUUUCCAUGAGAAAAAGGUAAAAGAAUGUUACUAUAUAUCAUCAUUCUUUAAAGCUUUAGCUAAAGCUUGUAAAUAAUCAUUGGUCUUUUUUUUUCAUCAGAAAAUACAGCUAUCAUGAAUUUGAGGCUCUGGCAAACAGUGCUUGUCUGAGUAGAUUUUACAGUUCUGGAGGUCUUUCAUCUUCAGAUGUGGAAAAGGAGUUCUGGCGUGUGAUGGAUUUUGGAGAGAAGGGUAAGAUUGAGUAUGGAGUCAAUAUUGAGGGUAGUGCCUUUUCAUGUGAUCCUCAUGACAAGCUUGGAAAAAGCAAAUGGAAUCUGAAGGUGAUUUUAUACUAACUCCAUUUCUUGUGUUCUCUUUACUUAGGUGAUUUUAUCAAGCUUAAGCUUUUGAUCCUUCUAUUUGAAUUUCGAAAUAUAAUACAAAAUCAUUCAUGUGUUCUCAUCCAAAGCUUUUGGGAUAGUUGAUUCAAGGCAUAUAUAGCAUCAUAGUCUCUAUGACCGAGUGGGUCAAGCGGUCAAAUCCCAAAUUAGCUCUUCAAGCGGUCAAGCCCAAUUGGCUCUUGCUUGAAGGAGUGUGUUUAUGAUAAAACCAUACAUGUGUCUUUGCCACACCAUUAACAUUGUUAAUUUCUUCUGUGCGUGUAUUUAUUGUUCACUAAUGAGACUUAAACAUCCUAAGACUAUAUACACCACAGACACUUCAUUUUUUGUUGUAUCUCUUUUCUUAUCACAUUCACCAUUCAUCAUAUAUCAAAUCCAAUACAUUUUUCCUCUUUUCUUUCUUUCUCACUCUGUGAUUGUUGGAUGUCUCAUGUCUGCACUCUGCACUAUAUGAAUGUAUACAAAUCAUUUUCCUUUAUUGUUUGCUUAAUAUAUUGACAUCUGAUCUCAUUUAUGUCAGAAUUUCUCACGGCUGCCACAAUCCACAUUGCGCUUAGUUGACAAGGAAAUUCCAGUAAGAAAGUAAUACUCUAAACCAAAAUUGAAUUUGCACUUUUCUCUAACAUCCCGGUGAAUUUUUUCAGGGAAUAACUGAUCCUAUGCUUUACAUUGGGAUGCUGUUCAGCAUGUUUGCAUGGCAUGUAGAAGAUCACUAUUUAUACAGGUAUAUAUCUCAGAGUUUUGUUUUUUCUGGUUUAUUGUUUACAUUGAUCAAUGAUUUUUGUUUUGUUUGCAGCAUAAAUUAUCAUCAUUCAGGUGCAAACAAAAUUUGGUACGGUGUGCCUGCCCAUGAGGCCUCUCAAUUUGAAAAUACUGUCUUACAUCAUGUGUAUGGCAAUAAAGUCUCAUCAAAACUUGGAGAAGAUGGUUCUUUCCAACUUCUUGCACAUAAAACAACCAUGUUCCCUCCAAUUAUCUUGCUGAAAAAUGAUGUGACAGUUUACAAGGCUGUUCAGAAGCCAGGAGAAUUUGUGAUCACCUUUCCUAGAGCAUAUCAUGCUGGAUUCAGUACUGGUGAUCCACCCAUCUUUCUUUACCGAUGAAGACUCGUUAUCCUCAUUUGGUGUCUUCUUCAGUCUUCUUUGUCUCACUAGUCAAAUCGUGUCAUGUAGGCAUGAGUAUCACAAUUAUAUACUACAUGAGUGGUUUUUAAAUGACAUGACACAAUUUGAUUGGUGGGACAGAGAACGAGACACCAAAUGAGGACAGAGGAUUUCAUGAUGGAUUAUCUCGUUUCAUGUUCCAUCAAUAAAAUUGUGACAUAUGAUAAUUAUAACGUUACAUGAGUGUUUUUUAGAUGACAUGGCACAUUUCUAUUAGCAGGAGAUGGAAGGGGACAUUGGGGACAGAGGAUUUCAAUCCAUUAUGUCACAUGAGACAAUCCUAAUCAAUAAACCACUGGUAUUUAUCAUAUAUUUGAUUUGAUUCUUUAUUUAUUGAUUCAGGUUUUAACUGUGGAGAAGCAGUAAACUUUGCUAUUGGUGAUUGGUUUCCAUUUGGGGCUGCAGCUAGUAAGCGUUAUGCACAUCUCAGAAUGCUUCCCAUGAUUCCAUAUGAGGAACUUCUUUGUAAAGAGGCUAUGCAGAUUCACAAGUUCUUAAAAGUCAGAAGUUCUAAGAACAAAUCUAAGGACAUUGCAUCUUAUAGUGCUACAGUAUUGACUUUUGUGCACCUUAUGCAAUUUUAUAAGAAGGCCCUUUUGAGACUGAAGGGUUCACCAGAGUGUUCAAUUUCUUCAAAUACCAUAUCUACUCUGAUAUGCUGCCACUGCCUCAGAGAUUGUUAUGUAGCAUACAUGUUGUGCAAGCACUGCUAUUCUUAUCCAAUUUGCCUUUGCUGCCAUGGUAAGAAAGGAUUAUAUUUUCAUUUGAUGGAUUUUUAUUAGACAUACAUUUUCAUACUCUCUUAUUUAUGUGAUUCAGACAUGGCAUCAAAGAGGUGCUCCUGUGGGAGAAAAUACACUAUUUUUAAGAGGAGUGACAUGUUAGCCAUGGAGGAUGCUGCCAAAAAAUUUGAGAAGGAAAAAGAAAUCCAUUUGAAAUAAAAAGAGAGCAUGAAUAAAAUAAAAAUUCAGAAAAAAGAAGAAUCAAGAUGGUUAUACCACCUAAGUGCUGCUGCAAUGUCUUAAAGAGUUUGAGAUCACUUGCACUAUCGCUGACAUCUAACAAAUCAGACUUUCUUCGUGGCCUUUAUUUAACUUCUCAUUGGUUUUUAGCAUUUAAUGGUUUAUGGUUAUGUUAUUGUAGACUUGUAUUUUUUUAGAACUGUACAAUGUAGAUUAGUUUGUUGGUUUAUGGUUAUGUUAUUGUAGACUUGUACUUUUUUAGAACUGUACAAUGUAGAUUAGUUUGUAAAUGGGGGAACAAAGCACACUAGAAGUUCUAGAGCUUUUAGGUUCGAAUAAUAAUGUUCCUAAAGUUGCUUAUGCAAGAAUUAUAUCCUCUCUUAGUUAUUGGUCCAUUUUUCCAGCACCUAUGGUUUUCACUUUCUCUAUUCAAGUUUGCAGUUUGCUAAUUCUAACAUGCUUUAAGUGGAUGGAGUGGAGAGGUGAAUUAAGUGUGUUUGGAUAAUAAUUAAAUAAAAUAUCAAUGGACUUUCAUCUCAAUUCAUAAGAAGAGUUUCGUUCACUUUUUAUCUAGAAGUGAAUGUUAGCAUUGUUUGUUCAAGUGACAUGAGUAUCCCAUACAUACCUUAAGUAAAUGUGCUUUCACAUUUUCACAUUUUUAUGAAUGUUAAAACAAAUGAAUUGAAAAAUGAGAUCAUAUAAAAGUGAUAAAACAGAUGUUGAAAGAUGGUGUAGAAAGUAAUGGUAGAAUAAAAAACACCCUAGUUGACACUUGAAAUGACCAACAUAUACAGGAGAAAAAAAAUUGUUUUAUAUGAGCUAAAUUUGAAGUGAAUGAAAUUUAAGCAAUUUGCCAACAUGUUAUGAUAGAAAAGUUAAAGCGCGUAACGAGUGAUAAUACAAAAUUUAAAUUUCAUUCGAGAAAGUUAUCUAUUAAGAAAGAGACGGUCACAUUCUCACGAACAAAUUGCACUUAACUUAGAGCAUCUUAACAUCAACAAAUAGCUAUUAAAAUUUAGAGUAAAGUACACUCUCCCCCCUCAAGGUUUGUUAGAAUUACACUCCACCCCAUUCUUAUCUAAAAUCUACACUCCACCCCAUUUUAUAUAGAGGCAAAUUUAGUGACGAAAAAUAUUCUUCAUUAAUAAUUAGUUAUUAUUUAAUUUGUUAAUCAAUAAUUUUAAAAAAUAUUUUUAAUAUAUUCCAAUAAAUUUAAAAUGGAAAACAUCACAGUCCUCCCCAUUCUCUCAAUCGCGUUCUUCCUCCUUAAAUUCACAAUGUAAAUUUUGCAAUAGCACACCUAACCGGUUUACAAACCAUAUCUCGAACAUAAUGAAACAUGCUUGUGUUUUCAUAUUUGAUAUUAAUUCAAUUUUAAUCAAAAUAAUCUAUUUAUACCUCCAAUUUUCAAAUUGGAUUGUAGACCCAAAAAGUAACACAAAUAGGUGAAGAAAAUAGGGAAACAAAAUUAAGAAAUAUGAAGUGGAUCGGAGGUUAUUAGAACCCAACGAUGCGGUGGAGCACCGUUUUUAACAAAAUCCAACAACAUCUUAAACCAACAGAGCGUUCACUCACAACUUAAAGAGGUGAAGUUCACAAUAAGUAGUUGAACAAGUGGCUUUGAGGAUGUGCGAUUCACGUUCUGGGGUUCAAGUCGCAACAAAACUUUGAGGCAUGGUGGUGCCAUGGGGUUUCACAUUCUGGGACGGUGGUCGCCAUGUUAAAGAGAGCAAAGACUUGGUGGUGACCGUUUGUGGUGAGAAAUAUGAUUUGGAGAUAGAUGGGACGUGGACUUAACAGACAGAGUUGAUAGUUUUUUUAAAUUUAAUUCAGUAAAAUUAUUUUUAUAAAUUAAUGUAUAAUAGUGUAUAUGCAUUAAAUUUAUUUAAAUUUUCACUAAUUAGUAAUUAUUUUUUAUUAGUGACGAAUUUGUUUUCGUCACUAAAUUUUGCCUUUAUAAAAAAUGGGGUGGAGUGUAGAUUUUAAAAAAAAAUGGGGUGGAGUGUCAUUCUUGCAAACCUUAAGAGGGGUGAGUGUAUUUUACUCUAAAAUUUAAAAUGAAAAUUACUUUUGAGUUUUGACACAUUCAAACAAGUUUUUUUCUUAAAAGAAAAAGAAAAUUGAAGUGCUAAUAAGAACACUAUUAUUACAUCACUACAGUCACAGGGGUGAAUUAGCAUCCAAAACCCGAUCUCAGGUCCGGUGUUGCGACGGCGGCGAAUGAAGCUCCCACGCGGCGGCGCUCCGCUCGCACUCUCAGCCUCAGCUGCAACCCAUUUCCGUCGCAGAAGCUUCUGCGCCUCCAAAUUCGACGAUGCUCGCUUUGUCUCCCUCAUUUCCGACAUUGUUCGAGGGAAGCAGAGUUGGAAGGUGGCAUUCAAAGACCCUUCAAUUUCAUCCACAUUGAGACCCCAUCACGUUGAACGAGUCUUGAUCAACACCUUGGACGAUUCCAGGUUAGCUUUCAGCUUCUUCAACUUCCUGGGUUUGCACCAAAAGCUGAAACAUUCCACCACCUCCUUCGCUAUCUUGGUCCAUGCCCUCGUCCCUGAUAGGCAAUUCUGGGCUGCCAAUUCUCUCUUGGACACCCUUCUCGAAAAUGGGUCUGACGCAAAAUCCAAUUUUACCGAGUUUCUAGAAGCUCACAGGAACUGUAAGUUUUCGUCUACCUCGGGUUUCGAUUUCCUAGUUCUGAGAUAUUUGCAUCACACAAGGGUUUUAGAUGCUGUGGUUGUUCUAAAACUCAUGCUUGCUAACAGAUUGUUGCCUGAAACUAGAACAUUGAGUGCCCUCUUGAACGGGCUAUUGAAAAUUAGAAGUUAUAUAUCGGUUUGGGAACUGUUUGAUGAAUCUGUGAAUGCUGGUGUUCAACAUGAUCCUUAUACUUGCUCAGCUGUAAUCCGGAGCCUGUGUGAACUGAAGGAUUUUUUUAGAGCUAAGCAGAAGAUUAAGUGGAUGGAAUCUAAUAGGUUUGAUCUGAAUAUUGUAACUUACAAUGUACUUAUUGAUGGGCUAUGCAAGGGUGGUCGAGUUUCGGAAGCUUUUGAGGUUAAAAGAUCAUUGAGGGAAAAGGGUCUGGAACCAGAUGUGGUUACAUACUGUACACUAGUUCAUGGUUUAUGUAGGGUGCAACAAUUUGGCGCUGGAAUACAGCUUAUGGAUGAAAUGGUUGAAUUGGGAUUUGCGCCAACCGAGGAGGCUAUAUCGAGGUUAGUGGAAGGGUUAAGAAAGCAGAGAAAGAUUGAUGUGGCUUAUGGUUUAGUGGUUAAGCUAGGAAGAUUUGGUUUUCUGCCAAAUUUGUUUGUCUAUAAUAAAUUACUGGACUCUUUGUGCAAAGGUGGAGAUUUGGAUAAGGCAGAGUUCCUUUACAACAAUAUGAGGUUGACGAAGUUGCGGCCCAAUGGUGUUACUUAUUGUAUUCUCAUUGAUUCCUUUUGCUUCAGGGGGAGGUUGGAUGUUGCAAUAUCUUAUUUUGAUAGGAUGAUUGGAGAUGGUAUCAGAGACAUGGUAUAUCCCUACAACUCUUUGAUAAAUGGCCAAUGCAAGUUUGGAGAUAUGAGUGCUGCCGAGUCCCUACUUACUGAGAUGAUUAAUAAGGGGUUAGAGCCAACUGCUGCUACCUUUACACCACUAAUUAGUGGCUACUGCAAAGGCCUAAAGCUACAAAAGGCAUUUGAACUAUAUAAUAAGAUGCUUGAGAAAGGAAUUACUCCGAAUGUUUAUACUUUCACUGCACUUAUUUCUGGGCUUUGCCGCAUGAAUAAGAUGGCUGAAGCAUCCAAACUUUUCGAUGAAUUGGCAGAAAGGAAAAUCAAGCCGACUGAGGUGACAUAUAAUGUUAUGAUUGAAGGUUAUUGCAGGGAUCGCCAAGUCAGCAAAGCCUUUGAAUUGCUUGAAGAUAUGCUCCAGAAGGGCCUUCUUCCAGACACGUAUACCUAUAGAGCUCUUAUCAGUGGCCUUUGUUCUACAGGUAGGGUUUCUGAAGCUAAAGAUUUUAUUGAUGGUCUCCACAAGAAGAACCUCAAGUUAAAUGAGAUGUGCUAUAGUGCACUUCUACAUGGUUAUUGCCAGGAAGGAAGAUUGAUCGAGGCAAUGAGUGCUUCUUGUGAAAUGAUUCAGAGAGGAGUCAACAUGGAUCUGGUUUGCCAUGCCAUUCUUAUUGAUGGUGCUCUAAAGCAGCCAGACAAGAAAAUGUUAUUUGGUCUCUUUAAAGAGAUGCAUGAUCAAGGACUGAGACCUGAUAAUGUAGUAUAUACCAGUAUGAUUGAUGCAUACAGCAAAGAAGGAUUGUUUAAGAAAGCUUUUGGAUGUUGGGAUUUAAUGGUUACUGACGAAUGCUCUCCUAAUGUUGUGACCUAUACUGCAUUGAUGAAUGGUUUAUGCAAAGCAGGUGAAAUAGACAGAGCAGGACUUCUUUUCAAGAAAAUGCUGACUGCAAAUGUCCCUCCUAAUUCAAUUGCAUAUGGCUGUUUUCUUGAUUCUCUUGCGAAGGACGGAAACAUGAAGGAAGCUUUAGAGCUUCAUAAUGCAAUGCUUAAGGGGCUUUUAGCAAACACUGCUACAUACAACAUUCUUAUCCGUGGCUUCUGCAAAUUGGGUAGAUUUCUUGAAGCCACAAAAGUUCUCUCUGAAAUGACUGAGAAUGGUAUUUUCCCUGACUGUAUUACCUAUUCAACUUUAAUUUACGAGUAUUGCAGAAUUGGCAAUGUGGAAGCAGCAGUUAAAUUGUGGCAUACCAUGCUGAAUAAAGGUCUUGAGCCGGAUUCGGUUGCAUAUAACUUGAUAAUAUAUGGUUGUUGUGUAAAUGGAGAGCUCGAUAAGGCAUUUGAAUUGCGUGAUGACAUGUUGAGGAGAGGGAUGAAGCCAAGACAAAAUUUACACGCGGUGCAGAAAGGGCAAUAGAGGAGCAGCAGUUAAAUUGUGGUAUAACAUGCUCUGAACAAAGGUCUAGAACCUGAUUUGGUUGAAUUGGACUUUCUAAUAUAUGGCGGUUGUGUUAAUGGAGAGCACAAUAAGGCAUUUGAGUUGUUUGAUGACAUGUUGAGAAGAGGGGUAAAGCCAAGGGAAAAUAAAUAGAGGCUGAUGCUUAAUGUUGAAGGUGGUAGUGUCAUCCAAACUCGAAGCACCUGGUAAAAGGUUAGUUUUGCGAAGUGGAAAAAAUAUUCUAUUAGUUUUAAUAACAGCUUUAAUUCUUCUAGAGUAGGAUAUUCACUUUACAAAGAAAAUACAAAUUGAGUUAUAAUCGUUGAUUGAAAAAUAAUGUGUUGACAUUGUGAUAAAUGUGCACACGUAUAGCUAAAUUUGAAGUUGUUUAAAUCCAUUUCUUUGAUUUUCUUAUCAACAGUUAUAUACUUAUAUUAUAACUCCUCACUUUUCCUUUAAAUUGAAUCUCUCUUUAGAGAAGUCAUGUCCUAAAUUAGUUUCUUCAUCUCAUACAUUAACUAUGUACAAUUUUUUUCUGUAGAGGAAAAGGAGAACAUUACCGAGGUAGCAUUACCAAAAGGAGAACUGGAGAAGGAACCUGUCAAACUGAAAUGGAAGGAAAAAAUUGAUAUUACAGAUAGGUAACUAAAGUUUAAGCAAUGACACUUCACAACAUGAGUUACAUGAAACUGUAAAUUUCGAUUGGAGCUAGUAGCAAGGUAAGGAAAUUCUUAUGUUUAGUUACUACAAUUUUCAAUUGGCAGAUGAACCCAGAUGAUGAUGAUGAGCCUAUCACUGACAGGACCAUUUUUGUUGGGGCUGGUAGAGAAACCAUGGGGUUACCUUUGUAAAUAAUCUUUAGAUGACGGUAAUGAUGAUGAUGAUGAAAACUUUUUCUUUGGACUCCUCCCUGACAAAAACUAGAAUCAUGAAUUCAUUUAAUGUGAAGCAUUCUUGUGACUCUGGGUUCGGUGUCCAAAAUUUAUAUAUUCAUGGCUGGUUUUGCAAGUUAUGUGAAAUUUUGUUCGGCCAUCAAUAAUACAUAUUGGAUAUGCCAUAAAAUAUGAUGAAAUCAUUGUCAUAGUUGAUAUUCAAGUAUAUGGUUAUGGUUUGUAGUCAUCCUCGAAGUGUUCUCUUGUGCCAUUGACAACUUCCAUACUUGGUGUGCAUAUCAGUUGUCUCUGUAAAGCCUAAAAAGAUCUCUCUUUAUUUGUAUUUUUUUGAAAUAUUAUUUAUAUGCAUGUGAAGAUAUUGGUCUUCGAUCAUGUUAGAGAAGGGAGGCUAAAAGAACAUUGGAAUAUAUUGUUAGAAAUUACAUCAUUAUCGAUAAUAUUCCUCAAAAUCUGGUUUUUUAUCAAACUCAAUGGCGCAAUGUGAGUUAUAUGGCCGACCUUACUUUGCCGGUUUGUUGUUGUAGUAUUGUUUAUUUGCAUGUAUAGGAAUAGCACACAAAAAAUGCAUGCGGAAUGUGGACGCAUUAGAGAGAUUAUAACUCGAAACCUUUCCUAAUUACCAUAGCGAGGAAGUCAAACAUUGGAAAUAGUUUUGCGAUUUAUCUUCGAUGGGAAAUGGCUAAUUGACCUCACAAUUCUAUAAUGAAAUCACAGGCUUCAUAUCAUCUUACAGCGUUGAUAAUUUUAUGAGAAUGGUCAUUUUAAAAAAUAAGGUAAUUACUUAACAAAAAAAAAAAAGAAAUUAGCAAGGUAUCGAAUUGUGUAUAAAUUUUAUCUUUUUGAUACACCGGAAAACUACCAACAAAGCAAACAGCAACCAAGGAACAGACAACGAAUCCUUAGGAACUUAGUUCUUUUUGUAGGAUUUUAACUUUAAAGUGAAUUUUAAUUAGGAAGUUUUACAUUUUUUUUUAUGGGCAUAGGAAGUUUUACGUGAAAUGAAAUUCAAAAUUAUUUAUUGGAUUGAAUUUGUGAAAAAGUUGAGUAAAAAACUAGAAUUGUAAGUAGCAGGAAGUCACGGACAAGAUUAAAUUGUGAUGUCUAAAAAAUUAAGAAACCAAACUCACGAGAAAUUCUUAGAACAGAAAAAUCACAAAUUAACUGUAAUAAAAAUAUUGAACGUGCAAUUAAACCCACAUUAACAAGCAUAAUGCAGGCACUCAAGCAUCCACUAUCACAAGGGUGCUAAGGUAAAUAGGUCAAUUGCGCUUAUUGCCUCAGGUGCUUACUGAGAUAAGCUUAUUGAAAUCAGCUCAAAACAAGUUAGUGAUAAGUAUAAGUGCUUAGUCAUGAACUAAUCUGUGUAGCUUAUGAGAAUAAACUCAACAACUUAUAGGCAUAUCAUAAGCUAUUUAUGUAAGCUCUCUCAAACUACUACAUGAACUACUUCUUGCAUAAGUGAUGUCAAAUUAAAAAUAAGCUCUUCAAAACCGGAUGAAGUGUUUCAUUGAUUUUCUGCAUAUUUUCUUUAAUCCAAAUGGCAUAUCCAAUUUUCAUUAUUGAUGGCCAGAAAAUAAAAUCCAAAUUAUAGCCAAAUCAAUCAUUUGUACCGCCAUGAAUAUAUAAAUUUUGGACAACAAACCAGACUCACAUUUAAUGAAUUACACCAUUCUACACCAUUCUGUGUAAGAAUUUCUACCAGAUUCAGGAUUCCAGUUUUUGUCAGGAAGGAUCUCCAAAGAAAAAGUUUUCAUCAUCAUCAUCAUUACCUUCAACUAAAGGUUAAUUGCAAAUCUUCACUGAGGAGCUCUGAUGCAGUUCGGUCUCAAACGUUCGAUGUGGUAAUAAUUGAACAUCUUGACUGGACAGAAAGCUAUAAUAGUUUCAGUCCACCUGUUACCUCAUCCACAACUUCAACAGGUCCUGCACAUCGUAAUCAGAUUAAAUCAAACUACUCCUAGCUGUAAGAAUAAGAGGAAAUGCUAAAUUGGCAUGACAAAAGGAAAUUAUGUUCAUUAGAGGAGAGCAUUACCGAGAAUUGCCAUCACUGUUCUGGAAUCUGGAAAAGAAUAAAAAAUAAAUUAAUAAGUAGUAAAUGUAUACAAACACUUAUAUAACAGGUAUUUAUAUUAUGGAUACAACAACUAUAAUAUGUAACUAAUAUCAAAAGAAAAGCCAGUUUACUCAUUCUAACUACUGUCUAACAUGGAAACCAAACCAUUUUCUCACAUGGGAUAGAUAGAGUUACACAGUACAAAAUUCAGAAUGCAAACAAUAAUUGGCAUUUUCAAGCACAGAUUAAGCUUCAAUAUAUAAAAUUAGGAUUAUGGAAUGACCAUUCCAUUUUAGGUGGAAGCUGGAAAACUAUCUCUAGUUUCAAUUCCCUCUACAUGGCUUCUGCAGACAUGAUUUAAUCAAUAUCUAGAUGAUUAUUAUACCUGACAAUUGGCAUCAAGUGUAAGACACACUAGAAAUGCACUAAACUAGCACAAACACUGCUAAAAAGUCUAAACAUGUGGCAGAUGAUAAAAAUCAAUCAGCAACAAGUUCAAAACACUCACUCGGUGCAAUCUGUGUUCUCCCAGCAUCGAUUGUGAUAUGGGUGGGUAACUUCAGAGAUUUAGCCCUUUCCUAAAACAUUAAUCAAAUUUUGGGAAAAGUUACCUUCAGAUAGAACACCAUGCAUCUAAAAAAAUUCUAAGAGAAAAGAUAAUAAAAACAUGUAGCAAUGGCAUUUGGGGCAAGGAGGAUCAAAUUUUGGAGAAAUAGAAGCAAAUAAUGGAAGUCAAGGAUAAUGCAGACCAGAAUAACUAACUUGUUAACAAAGAUACUGCCAAAUAGUAGACAAAACAAAAUAGUCCAAACUACUUCAAACUGACAAUAUGUUUGGUUGAUAACAUAAUAAACCUUCUAUAUGCUAUUCUUUUUUGUUAAACUAGAGGAGCAAAUAAUUUACAUCCAUUACUACACUUUUCUAACAAAGAUUGUUAUAUCUUCCAAACAAGUUUCCAUUUAUGAAUAAUGGAAGAAAUAUUUGAAUUACAAAAUUAAGAAAAGCAGAUAGAGUCCAAUUGUUAUUAGAAUGAAGUUAAAGUAAUACAAAAUGCCUCAUUUUCUUCGAGAUCCAAAUUACACUAUCCCCACUCCCUAGCCAUUGUUUAUAUGCCAAAAUACACUAUCAUUUCUACAAAUCCAAAUAACUUUUUGGUAUUUCCCAUACAAUCUACAUUCUAGUCCAGUCUAAAAAUAAAUCAAAUUAUGUCGUUCAAAUAAGCUCUCCAGCCAAAUAAAUACACGGGAUAUUUUUUUAUUUAGAGUUUUCACUUAUGAAAGUUUUGUGUAGUAUGAAUCCCCCAUUUACUAAUCCUGCAUAAUCAACUUGUACAGCCUAAAUUACACAUAACUAAAAAUGCAACACAGAUAUUGACUUCCUUUGCCUUUUCCAUAUGAUUCAAUGAUAAUUAGCCAAAACAUUUCUUUUAAAACAGCUUUAAAGCAGUAUACAGUUGCAGCUUCCACUAAGUAUUAAAACACAUUUUCAAGUUUCAUGUUCGCAGACAAUAUUUCACAGUAAAGCCCAAACUUUCCUGCCUUACAUUGCUCUACAAACGCUAGAUUUUUCUCUCAUAGUCGUCCUCUAAAGCAAGCAAGUAUCCAACACAGAUCUUAAAUACAAUCCACAAGAACUUAGCUAAUGUAGCACAAAAUUGCCCUGAACAAUACUUACCUGCAAAGCCAGCAUAUCUUCUUCACUUUCAAUUUUGACAACAACCUUCGGCUGUGCAGACAUCUCCCACCUGCACAUUAACAUUGAACAAAGUUAGAUACAAUUCAAGGCAACCUGCAGGCACAACCAAGGUUGUAGCAGUACCUGUUCAAAGCCUUUGGGGCACGAUGAAGGAGCUUUUUAUAGAGACCCAAUGUUGCAUGACUAUAAAAGCACAGAGACAGAGUACUAAAUUAGAGUCACUGAUCAGGUUUUUAUGGAUGAAAUAAAGAUAAUAAAUAAAAAAACACAAUAAAAUCUGUUAUCAGUAUCAAUGCUAGUAUGCUUUUUACAAACCAAUCAAAUUAAAGGAUUUUAGUUGGCCUAAUGUCUCAAUGUGUGUUUGAAUUUCCAUUGAACACCACAAUCCAAUGGCAUAAUCCUACUUCUCAAAUCUACAAUCCAAUUAUCCAAGUUAAACUUAGCAUGUCAAAUUCUCGCUUUCAUUCUCCGGUUGCUAACUCAAUAUAUAUGAAAUCAAGUUUGCAUUUGCAUCAACACAUAAACAAACAAUAAUACAUUUGGAAGGAGGCAUUACCUGCAUUGAGCAGCAAUCUUUCCUUUACCCAUUUUGAGAUCAUUUCUAACAACAAGUAUCUGCAGGCAAAAAGAAACGAUUUAGAUAGCAACCCAGUAAAAUUGAGGUUGAGAAUUGGUGGAAAAAGAAGGAAUUAGUGGAUUACCAUCUUGAAAUCAUCGAGAAUGUCAGCGAGCUGUUCAACCUCAAGUGGGUCUUUGAGUUUGGAGUUACUACUGUUCUUCUUCUUCUUGUUCUUGCUACUACUGUUACUGUCAUCGUUGAGAAGUGAAGGUUCUUUGUCUUUGGAAGACAAUGAUCUUCUAUGUGGGAAGAGAAAACGAUGGGGAUACUGAGAACCAAUGAAGUAACCAAAAGCAGCACCAACCAAAAUGGCACUCAACCAUGUCAGUUCCAUCGUUCUCUUUGGAUCGGCGAUUUUAGGGUUUCAGAGGAGAACCAAACUCAGCCUCAGCCUAUUUUUUCGGCAACGCUCAUCGGACAAAUUGGAAUAUAAGAAAUGCAAAGCGUGACAAGGGUCACUUAUAUACAUAUAAUAGGGUUUUAUUAUUUAAAUACUAAAUUGUGCUUUUAUCUAAAUCUAAAUAUUAAGUAUUUCUUAACUUGUUUCUCUCCAUUAGCUGCUACAUGUAUGCUUUAAUCUUGGAACAAUGACAAGGUGUCCUGCUUCUACACAAGAUUUUGAUCACCUCUUUUGCCGGUGUGUGUGAAAUCAUUUUCAGACAUUGCUCACCGUUAUUCCUGAUGACACCUCUUUUCAUGAUUGGUUUCGUGCUCAAUUGCAAAAAACAGAAGUAUAUUCUUGUCAUCGCAAAUCUUUGAUGGACUUGAAAACGGUACAACAAUAACAUCUUGAUACUUAUAUUAGGCCUAUUAGUUAAGUUUUAUGAGUGGUGUUGAUAUAUGAUCAGGAGUUUAGGUGUUGGGAAAGACCAGCUAGUGUUGCCUUGGUUGUACCGAGGAUCACAAAGUUAAGGUGUGGUUCGUCUGAAUGUGGAUGGCUGUUGGGUUGCUAGUGUGCAACGUAGGGGAGGUAUCCUAUGUGAUCAAGACGGGUGUUGGGCCUUAAGCUAUUCUUGUGGUUUCAGUAAUGGAGAUGUUGGUUUAUGACAUUUCUUGAACUUGAGUUAUAUCCUGAGUGAGAGGUUUGUGAUUCUAAUCGUCUGGAGGUUAUCCAUAUUCUACCAAAUAAAUAUGAUAUUGUCACUUAUUGGUUGCGAGAUGUGAUUCAGGACUCUAUUGGACAGAAACUUGACUGUUUCAAUGUCUCAUAUCGUGAGAGACUGCAAAAAGAUCACAUGUGCUUUGCCUAAACACGCAUUUAGAGGUUACACUCCUCUUCUUUUCUUUUAUAACAUGCAAGACUAACGCCCAAAUAGCGAAAACUAAACAAGUCUAGCGUGCGAGACCCCAUUAACAUUAUAUAUGAUCAGGGAGAACAAAGAGUAUGGAACAUAUUUAUCAUUAAAACAGGGAGAACAAAGAGUAUGGAACAUAUUUAUCAUUAAAACUCAUCCUAUACAGCUUGUGACCAAGACCAGCAAGGUGAUCUGCACAGUUAUUAGCUUCCCUAAACACAACAUGGAACCGCACAUCACAAUCGAAAGCAGCAAUAAUAAAUAUAGCUUGAACCAAAUCAGUACAUGGAUGAGAAAUAGGGCACUUAACAGUGAUCAACUCCAAGGCCAGUUUGGAAUCCAACUCCAUCAAAAGAUGACACUCUUCUUUGAAAGUUCCUACCUUUCAAUAUUAUACCCCUUCUUGGCCAUGACUUAGCUGUGUAGUCUUCCAAUUGUAACAAAAAAAAACAUGGUCUUCUCCAAAGUCUUUGAAAUAUAUCGUUUACCUAACUCAAGCAUGAAUAUCACAAGUAAGAUGUUGAUUUGAGGUUUUAAAAUAUUCAAACUCACAUUUAAUUUCAUCUCAUUCUUAAUUUUUUUUAUAACUUUUCUAUUACUGGGUUUUGACAGUACCGUAUAUCCAACCAUGAUAAUGUACACAACAAGUAGACCAAUGCAUCGGUGCCUCCAACUUGAAGCAUUGAGCAUCGCCAUCAUCGACCAAAAAAAAAAAAAAACAAAUAUUAAUAUAAUGAUCACUCAAAACUCGUGCUAGAAAAAGUGCGGUGGUAGGUCACGACAUCAUUAUUGUGGAUGAUAUUUUCUACUCUCCUUACUCCUCCAUCACAUAUUCACAAGACACGAUCACACAGCCACAUAUCAGCACGUGUAACAUCAAUCAAUAUUCUCAACUCGUUACAAAAUCAUCACUACUCACUAGUAACAUAAACUCAUGACGAUAACAGAGCAAUUAGCGUUCAUCAACACAUCACAAUUCAGAAUAACUUUGAUUAAGGACAAAUUAAAUGCGCAAAAACAAUAAUAGUUGAAUAAGAAAACAAGGUAAUUAGCAUCAUAUUCUUCUUCAGAAUAAAAUUCAUCAGUUACGUGAUCAAACGCUACCAAUCAAUCCAAUCACAUAAAGUGAUAAAUUUUAUUCGGAAGAAUAUGAUGCUAAUGCGCACUAGAGUUGAAAACAUCCCAAUUCAAUACAUAUAAUUCAAUACAUAUAAUCAAAAAACCUAACUAGUAUUUCGAAUUUUCAAUAUCAUGGAUCGAAUUCCAAUGCAUUAAAAUACAUGACAUCACACUAAUCGCAAAAUCAAGCAUGCAUAUUUUAAGCGUUCACAAGCAAAACGACAAAAGUAAACAUAGAUCAAAGAUAUAAUAAGGUGAAUAAUAAUCCUAAUUUAUUAAAAGGUAGCUCAUCAUUUUAAAGUUUAUCUCAUCACAUGACUCAUACCCUACGAACGACAAAGUACAAAAUACCAAAGGGUUGGAUACGAUCGAUCAAGAGCGAGCAGCAUCACAAAAAACCCUAAAACGCACAACGAUAAAACAUAAAACGACACCGAAAUUCAAAACACAAAAUAGUCUAGAUCAGAGCCACCACCAUAGGAACAGAGUCAACAUCGUCUAGAGUUGACCGCAGUCGGCAACCACCACCGGCCUGGAGCACUUGCCGGAGCUAGAUCCAACCUUCUCGAUAUUCUUCACCACAUCCAGCCCCUCAACAACCUGUCCGAACACCACGUGCUUCCCAUCGAGCCACUCGGUCUUGGCAGUGCAGAUGAAGAACUGAGAUCCGUUGGUUCCGGGACCAGCGUUCGCCAUGGAGAGAAUGCCGGGGCCGGUGUGCUUCUUGACGAAAUUCUCGUCAGCGAACUUCGCGCCGUAGAUCGACUCGCCUCCGGUGCCGUUCCCGGCGGUGAAAUCACCUCCCUGGCACAUGAAGUUAGGGAUCACACGGUGGAAGGAAGAUCCCUUGUAGUGGAGUGGCUUGCCGCUGCGGCCGACUCCCUUCUCGCCGGUGCAGAGAGCGCGGAAAUUCUCGGCGGUGCGGGGGGUCACAUCAGCGAAAAGCUCCAUGACGAUGCGGCCGGCGGGUUGGCCACCGAUGGUCAUGUCGAAGAAAACCUUAGGGUUUGCCAUGGAUGCAGAGAGAGUGAUGAAGAGUGAAAAGGGAUUAGGGUUUGGCGAAUGAACGUGAGGACGAAGGUUAUUUAUAGUGGCGCGUGCAUCUGAAGACGUUGUGAAUUCACCGUUGGAUCAGGACACGUGGUGUGUUGUGAUGGAGUGAUGUAACUAUGGUUGAGUUAGGAAUUAACUAGGGUUAGUGGAGCGGAUCGAAGGAGGCGGAUAUGCUUAUGGGUGUGGACUUUUCAUGCACAAACAAACGACGCCGCUUCGUGCUUUAAUUCACUGUGUAUUUUUCGUUUUUUUUUUUAAUUUAAAAAUUUUGUAUUUUGGAAUCACUUUUUUGGGGGUUCAUGUGGGCCAAAUGAAUGUCGACGAGGAUUAAUAUAUCGAUGAUCAAUUCUCGAUGAAAUGUGGGGUUAUCACAAAUUUACUCCUAACAAGGUUAUUCCUCUGGUGCUGAUCAUCAUCAGCCUUUUCCCCUGUUGUAUGUUGGGCCCCUCACUUUUAGCAGGCCGUGUAUUGGGCUUCUUGCCUUUUUUAUCAAUGAAAUCCAUUAUUGACAAAAAAAAAAAAGCAUAACCCCAUGUUCAUCUAGAAGAAGUACCAUGAGGUUCUACCCAUCAUCGUUUACUAUGAUAGCUCUUCCCAACGCCAAUGAAAACACGCAUUGGAAUUUUAUUUGAAACUUUAAAAAUGAAAUUACAGGAAUAACCUUGAAUUUAAGUUGCCUUUAGGGAUGGCAACGAGUCUGGUCGGGCUCGGGUUUUACCAAUCCCAAACCCAAACUCAAACUCUCAUAUAAACCCAAACCCAAACCCAAACCCGUCAGGUUUUGGGUUUACCCAAACCCGUUGUAACCCUCAAAUUCACGUCAUAACCUAAAUUAAUGUAUAAAUUUUUUUGCAAAAUAAAAUGCAACUUGUAUUAUUUUGUUGUGAAAAAACAUUUUAUAUCUUUUUUUGUCAAAAAAUAUGAUACCUUAAUGUUCAAAUUUGAUCAAAUUGUUAACAAAUUAAGUUGUUAACCUGAUAUGUAAGAGUCAUUUUGCAAUUUUAUAUAUAAUGUUCGGGUUCGGGUGCGAGUUUCACCAAUACCAAACCCAAACCCAAACCUAAUCAUAUCGGGUUUGGGUUCGGGCGGACCCACGGGUUCGGGUUCCGUUGCCAUCCCUAGUUGCCUUUAACAAGAAUAUGUUGAGUUUAUUUUACAAAACUAAAAGUGUUAACCGUUAACUUUUUUUAUACUAACUUACUUUUUUGAUAAAAAAAAACUUACUUUUUCAUAAAUAUUUUGUAAAAAAAAAUACUUCUUCAUAAUUUUUUUUUUGUUAAAUUAGGACCACCUAGACUGAACAAGACUCAAUGGUGUCGAUUCUUCAAAAAAUUGGUCCUGGUGGAACUUGGUGAGAGGGAACUUUGGUCUUUGUAAGAUUUUGAGUAAAAUAGACUCAUCCCUAUCACUUCUUCAUAAAAUCAAAUUAGUAAAUUAGCAAACUCCACUUAUUUGGGUCAUGGAAGAUGAAUUUAAAAUAUUGAUAGUUUAUUACUUUAUUAUUACACGACCUUUUAUGCGAUUUGGUGACUUUGAAAAGUAGUGCGUUGAGUCAUACAAGAUGGAGCUCAGCUUAUUUGAUGCAUCAAAGUGCUAUUAAAUAUCAACGUUUUUGGGUCUUUAACCCGUCAUGUAAAAAAAAAAAUCAUCACUUUUUGGAAGCUUUUGAUGAGAUGAUGUUUAUAAUUAGGACCACCUAGACUGAACAAGAGUAGAAUGGAAAGAAUGGAAAACAGUAGAAUCGAUCUGUAGAUUUUUGUUGCCAUUUUAUGAUAGUACUACAUUGAUUUAUGACACACGUUAUCAUACUUCCAAUUUGUAUAUGUUACUAUAAAUUAGAAAAAAAUCAACGUGUCUUAAUAAAUAAUGCAAGAGAUGAAGAUACAAAAAGUAUGGUCGAGACUUGAGAGGAGAGGAUGAUCGUGUGCUGCAAAAUGCAAUUGAUGUGGUUUUGGACUCGCUAGUGAAGAUGGACACAUUAACCGUUUAAAGAAAGCUUUGAUCCAUAUACUUGGGAACUAAAUAUAUUCCACCAAAGGUCCUACUUCCAAUGCUCCAAAAACUAUUUGAGGCACAUCUUCAUCUUCCACUUUCGACACUCUCCCCAAGCCUAUUUGAUGGGGGACUUCCAUUGCAAGUUAUUCGAUCAAAUUGGAAAAUUGUUAAAUCCAUUGUGGGGCAUUCCAAAUGACCUUAUACAGUCAUACUUGUACAAUCCAUUUAUGUUUGAUUACUGCAGCACCAUAUAAUCAUUUGAGGGCUUAGUUCCCUUGUAUUAAUAGGCUGUAUUAAUUAAUUGCAAUUAUAUAUAGACAUUUAUACUCAUUAGUAAUCAUUUUUACUAGCUUGGAGGAAAUCACAAUUGUAAAACGACAGCGAAUUGAAAACACAAAAAAGUACAAGAUCAUCAGAUUCAUAUUCAGAGCAAUAAUUGAAGAUAGCGCGAUCGGUUUGGUUAGGUCAAUAAAUCAUCUAAGAGAUUUGACCACAGUCGGCGAUCUUCACCUCCUUCUUGGUCGACCCACUCCGCGAUCCAAAUUUCUCGAUCUCCAUCACCACAUCCAGCCCCUCAACCACCUUCCCGAACACCACAUGCUUCCCAUCCAGCCACGACGUCUGAGCAGUACAGAUGAAGAACUGAGAUCCAUUAGUCCCGGGACCGGAGUUCGCCAUCGACAGAAUGCCAGCUCCGGUGUGCUUCUUCACGAAAUUCUCGUCAGCGAACUUGGAUCCAUAGAUCGACUCUCCGCCGGUGCCGUUCCCGUUGGUG